rnacentral:rRNA from 1 species
AUUGAACGCUGGCGGCAUGCCUUACACAUGCAAGUCGAACGGUAACAGGUCUUCGGAUGCUGACGAGUGGCGAACGGGUGAGUAAUACAUCGGAACGUGCCCGAUCGUGGGGGAUAACGGAGCGAAAGCUUUGCUAAUACCGCAUACGAUCUACGGAUGAAAGCAGGGGACCGCAAGGCCUUGCGCGGACGGAGCGGCCGAUGGCAGAUUAGGUAGUUGGUGGGAUAAAAGCUUACCAAGCCGACGAUCUGUAGCUGGUCUGAGAGGACGACCAGCCACACUGGGACUGAGACACGGCCCAGACUCCUACGGGAGGCAGCAGUGGGGAAUAUUGGACAAUGGGCGCAAGCCUGAUCCAGCCAUGCCGCGUGAGUGAUGAAGGCCUUAGGGUUGUAAAGCUCUUUCAGCCGGGAGAAAUCGCUUCGGCUAAUACCUGGAGUGGAUGACGGUACCGGAAGAAGAAGCACCGGCUAACUACGUGCCAGCACG